AGCAUUUCUCGGGUGAUGCAUCUCUGAAUUGGGCUCCCUCCUCUCUGGUUCCGGGGUGCGUCAUCCGAGAAUCGCC
rfam:Myotis davidii contig129632, whole genome shotgun sequence.